AUUGAUUCCAUUCUAACAUUACUUCUGUCUCUUAGGAAGAUGUAGUUAUUGUCGACAGCCCACAGCCAGAGAUUAUACUUAUAAAGGGAGAUUUAAAAGACAAAUCAAAGCCGGCAAUUAAAAGAACUAGACAAAAGAAAGGUGUUUCUAAAGACAGUCCGAAGUCAGCGACACAAAGCAAUGCGGUAAAAAGGGUUACGUUUCUUUUCAAGGGAGAUAAAAAGGAUACACAAAAGAAUGUGAGAAAAAAGGACAAGCUUCGGUUUACUUAUCAAGAAACACUGGAUCUUUUUAACCUGGUUUUACAAGACGUGAAUUGGACUACAGUACCAGGAAGGAUGAGUCAAAAGAAUCACAUUCCAAGAACAGACAGUGAUUACAAAGCAAAACUUGAAACAGAGUUCAAGAAAUUAUAUCCACCGAAGUCUUGAAACCGCAAAAUAAAUAGAUAUUAAUAACUAA
rnacentral:sRNA from 1 species